UGAGUGUUCCAGUUCAUAUCUCUUUCAGG
rnacentral:piRNA from 1 species